AGCUGCGCGAAACUUACUCACGCAAGCGCGGCAGGCCGGAUAAAUUGCUCCGGCUCGGCAGCUGAACAAACCGUUUUACCCAACACAGUCGUUUUCCUGCUUUGCCAACCCUGCUUUUUUCCGAUAUUUUGUUUUUUAGAUAGGAUGUAUUGUAUGGCAACUGGUACUGUUAAAUGGUUUAACGAUGCUAAAGGUUUUGGUUUCAUCACUCCCGAUGAAGGCGGCGAAGAUUUGUUUGCCCACUUCUCAGCCAUCAACAUGAAUGGCUUCAAGACCCUGAAAGAAGGCCAGAAAGUUUCUUUUGAAGUAACCACCGGCCCGAAAGGCAAACAAGCCUCUAAUAUCCAGCCGGCCUAAGUAGCCGCUUAUUAAAAAGACAGGUAAUCGCCUGUCUUUUUGUG
rnacentral:sRNA from 1 species